UUAUAUUCUGUAGCAAGGUUAACCGAAUAGGGGAGCCGAAGGGAAACCGAGUCUUAACCGGGCGUUAAGUUGCAGGGUAUAGACCCGAAACCCGGUGAUCUAGCCAUGGGCAGGUUGAAGGUUGGGUAACACUAACUGGAGGACCGAACCGACUAAUGUUGAAAAAUUAGCGGAUGACUUGUGGCUGGGGGUGAAAGGCCAAUCAAACCGGGAGAUAGCUGGUUCUCCCCGAAAGCUAUUUAGGUAGCGCCUCGUGAAUUCAUCUCCGGGGGUAGAGCACUGUUUCGGCAAGGGGGUCAUCCCGACUUACCAACCCGAUGCAAACUGCGAAUACCGGAGAAUGUUAUCACGGGAGACACACGGCGGGUGCUAACGUCCGUCGUGAAGAGGGAAACAACCCAGACCGCCAGCUAAGGUCCCAAAGUCAUGGUUAAGUGGGAAACGAUGUGGGAAGGCCCAGACAGCCAGGAUGUUGGCUUAGAAGCAGCCAUCAUUUAAAGAAAGCGUAAUAGCUCACUGGUCGAGUCGGCCUGCGCGGAAGAUGUAACGGGGCUAAACCAUGCACCGAAGCUGCGGCAGCGACACUGUGUGUUGUUGGGUAGGGGAGCGU
rnacentral:rRNA from 1 species